AGUAAAACACCAAAUCUGUGUGUGUGGAGGAGGUGUUUGAGGUGUGAUCGGUGCCCAGCAUCGCGGAUUACAGGUGUUUGCUGACAUGAAGACGGAUGGUGGCGUUGCUGCAGGACCCUCAUGCAGGCCGAACCUCACCACAGCUGCUGCACCAAUACGCCACUGAAGAUACUGAUCUGAAUAGGGAGGAUGCAAAGGUGGAAGCAGUCAGUGCUGGAUUCAGUUUCACUGCAUCUUAAUGGAGCACACACACACACACACACACACACACACACACACACACACACACACACACACACACACACACACACACACACACACACACACACACACACACACACACGGUUUUUUAAUAGUAUCUACUUCCCCCUUUUUUUGUGUGAGAGGACACAGAUACACCCUGAAUGGGCCCCUGUGGUGCUCUACAUUGUGGUUGGGAAGUACCUAAUGUUACAACUGUCAUGCUGAUCUGCUUAAAGGGACAGUGUUGAUCACUUUUCUCAGUAUUUUCUCAGGGGUCAUGUAGUGUCGCCCUAAAUAAGAGGUUGUCAGAGGAG
ensembl:lncRNA